CUCCUGAGCUUCCUGGCAGCCAAGUCAGAGCAGAGCCACUAAGUAUUGAACACCUACUUUGAGUAAUGCUCUCUCUCUCUGUUAAGCAGUGUGAGUGAUACCUGGGUUAAGGGAAAAAGUGAGCAGAGCCUUGAAGGAUGUCCAGAAUAACUACACUCACAAAUACACUCUCCUGGAGAAGGACCAGCAUUUGCAGACACCUGAAGAGUGCAGGCGGUUCUUAGGGGAAGAUGGAUGAUCCUCUGCUGGAGUGAAGGAUAUGGAGGAAAGUACUCAGAUUUUCCUCGAAGAGCCACCCCUCCUCAUUGUGUAGCAGCUGUUAGUUGUGUGGGAUUGAACUGCCUUCAGUUCAGGAGUGGGACCCGAAUUGGUAUAGACCAAUCAGUAGAUUGCACUGAAAAUUCAAUCUCAAGCAGGUUGGGAGAUGUGAGUAAAAGCACAUGAAACCCACCUUCCUGGGAGACUUGUUUUGGAAUCAUGAGGGAAGCCUGAAGAUGACAUUAUGAAGAAGGGCAAAACCAAGAAAAUUGUAGAAAAACAGAGCCAUGUUCUUGAUUGAGCUACACCUGAAGCCAGUCCUUACUCUGAACUUUACUGUUAUGAGUGAGCAUACUAAUGGC